UAUCUCUGUAGAGUCUGCAUAUCAAUAAGCGGAGGAAAAGAAACUAACUAGGAUUCCCUCAGUAACGGCGAGUGAAGCGGGAAGAGCUCAAAUUUGAAAUCUUCAAGGUUCUACCUUGACGAAUUGUAGUUUAAAGAAGUGUUUUCUGUUGGAGUUUUGGUAAAAGUUCUUUGGAAUAGGACAUCAUAGAGGGUGAGAAUCCCGUAUUUGACCAUUAUUUCCAGCUGUGUGAUACACUUUCAAAGAGUCGGAUUGUUUGGGAAUGCAGUCCAAAAUGGGUGGUAAAUUUCAUCUAAAGCUAAAUAUUGGCGAGAGACCGAUAGCGAACAAGUACCGUGAGGGAAAGAUGAAAAGAACUUUGAAAAGAGAGUUAAACAGUACGUGAAAUUGUCAAAAGGGAAGCGUUUGACUACCAGUGUUGUUUUUCUCGAAAAUCAAUUAUAAAUGGCUGGAUUUGUAGUUGUCAUGACCUUAUAAGCUUUCUGCACUUAUUUUUCUUGUCUUUCUUAAUGCACUUUUCGGUUAACAAGUCAACAUCAAUUUCUUUUGUUGUAAAAGAGUUAAUAGGAAGGUGGCUUUCACUUUCGGUGAAAGUGUUUAUAGCCUUUGACUCUGCAAUCGGAGAGAUUGAGGUCUGCAGCGUAGAUCCUUCGGGGCUAGAUACAUUUGUGCUAAGUUAUAGCUUUUCAUAGACAACAUUGUUGACUAUGAUUUAAGUCAUUGUAGCUUACUCGCUUACUGCUAUUUUACCUACGCUUAGGAUGUUGACGCAUGAGAUAUACGC
rnacentral:rRNA from 1 species